AUUGAACGCUGGCGGCAGGCCUAACACAUGCAAGUCGAGCGGAUGAAGGGAGCUUGCUCCUGGAUUCAGCGGCGGACGGGUGAGUAAUGCCUAGGAAUCUGCCUGGUAGUGGGGGAUAACGUCCGGAAACGGGCGCUAAUACCGCAUACGUCCUGAGGGAGAAAGUGGGGGAUCUUCGGACCUCACGCUAUCAGAUGAGCCUAGGUCGGAUUAGCUAGUUGGUGGGGUAAAGGCCUACCAAGGCGACGAUCCGUAACUGGUCUGAGAGGGUGAUCAGUCACACUGGAACUGAGACACGGUCCAGACUCCUACGGGAGGCAGCAGUGGGGAAUAUUGGACAAUGGGCGAAAGCCUGAUCCAGCCAUGCCGCGUGUGUGAAGAAGGUCUUCGGAUUGUAAAGCCCUUUAAGUUGGGAGGAAGGGCAGUAAGUUAAUACCUUGCUGUUUUGACGUUACCAACAGAAUAAGCACCGGCUAACUUCGUG
rnacentral:rRNA from 1 species